rnacentral:snoRNA from 14 species
UGCACUGAUGAAACUAGAAAUAGGAAGUGCCGUCCGAAACGACAACUGACGACAUCUCUAUUUAGCUGACU